UCAAACUUGGUCAUUUAGAGGAAGUAAAAGUCGUAACAAGGUCUCCGUUGGUGAACCAGCGGAGGGAUCAUUACCGAGUUUUUCAACUCCCUUACCCGUGUGAACGUUACCAUACCGUUGCUUCGGCGGUGCGGCCCCGGCGGCCCGGCUCCCUGCGAGUCGGCCCCCGCCGGGCUCAGGCCCCCGCCGGAGGACCUAAACUCCAUGUCUUUUUGAGUCUCUGAGGCGGCCCUGGGCCGAUCAAAAAACAAAUGAAUCAAAACUUUCAACAACGGAUCUCUUGGUUCUGGCAUCGAUGAAGAACGCAGC
rnacentral:misc_RNA from 1 species